UACGUAGGGUGCGAGCGUUAAUCGGAAUUACUGGGCGUAAAGCGUGCGCAGGCGGUUCGUUGUGUCGGCGGUGAAAGCCCCGGGCUUAACCUGGGAAUGGCCGUUGAAACUGGCGAACUGGAGUGUGGUAGAGGGGGAUGGAAUUCCGCGUGUAGCAGUGAAAUGCGUAGAUAUGCGGAGGAACACCGAUGGCGAAGGCAAUCCCCUGGACCUGUACUGACGCUCAUGCACGAAAGCGUGGGGAGCAAACAGG
rnacentral:rRNA from 1 species